rnacentral:lncRNA from 1 species
CUCUAAGAAUUCUCUGCAGCUGUUUUUACUCAGCCCAUGGUAAACUUGAAGCACCACUCUUGUGUUCUUUUAAGGAAGCACCAUUAUUUUGUUGACAGAUCAGUGAUCACCAUUCUCUCCCAUUUGAAUGUUCAGUGUAGCAUGCUUAUUGCUGGUCGAUACAGUCUUGGAAUACCAUAAGCAUCAGUACUUCAUUGCACAACUUGUAUCAGUUAUCACAUUGUUUCAGUUUGAUCAGUAGAUGAUGGCUUGGAUGUGUUUUAAAGGUUAUUUUUUCCUUGAUGAUCUUUCACCUGGGAUAUGUUCUUGUGUGUUGUGUGGUGUUCUUUUCCCUUCCUAAAUAAGUCGGAGGACUUCACCAGGUCAAUGUCAGUCAAUGGUGAUACUUGUUCCGUGCAUUCUAAAACUAAAUUCAGUACAAUGUUCAUCAGGUGAUGUGUUAGACAUGCUGAAUUAUCCAUUAAGCUAUAUAUAUAUAAGAUGAAAAACAUUAUGAGCUCACAUCACUUAUGGUCCAGCUUCACCGGACACUUUUAACUGGCGUGGUUUCUUGUCUUACAUCACUACACAUUAUUUACUAUAAAAUGCUAGUUGAUUACGACAAGUUUUCUUUAAGAUGAAACAUUAGGUGAUUAACCUACUUGACAUUUUAAUUAUUUAAAAACAGUUUGCAUGAAACAUACAUGCAGACAGUUUCAAGCAAAUAUGUAGAUUUAGAAGAACUGGGCGACCCAUUUGUACCCAUUCUACAAAGCCACCAUAAGGAGCUCCUCUGAACGCGAUGAAGGACCUGCUCCAACUCAUCCUUCAACAAAUCCCAGCAUCUGGAGAGGCUAGGGUUCUUGCUGUUGAAGAU